CUCCAAGACACAUUAUGAGUUAUCAAUUACACAUAAAUACACAUUGAGUUAAGAGAACACUUUCUUAUGUUCAUUUGUCUGAAUUACCCUUCAACUAGAAAGAAGAUGUCAUAACAUGUGUCAAAAUUAUUUUCAAUAUAAUUCCAUUUAACUUUCACUUUUUAGUUUCAUAUUUUUUAAUUCCCUAAACUUAAUCAUGCCUCCAUUUAUCGUCAUCUUCAUCUCUCAUCUUUCGUAUCCUUCUAAAUAUUCUUCUACUUCACUAAAUUUGUAGACUUUUUUUUUUUAUAAUUCUAAAUCACUAAUUUUUGUUGUCGAAUCUUUAUCUUUCACCACUUUAUUUUUUAAAUCUCGAAUUCAUGGAAACCUCAUAUUGGGAGCUAAGGAAAGUCGAUUCUGAAAUUUCAGCUUGGGAGAUUCUAGAUCUUCGCCGACGAAUACAUCCAAGACAGCAAAGCCGAUGUAUCUCCUGCAACAUUUGAUUCACAUGUCGCCCAUCCUUUUCAUGUCCAUCAAUUUGCUUGUCCACAAAUGAACUAUCCACAAAGCUGUCUUGGAUCUAAGUUUGAUUCACAUGUCGCCCAUCCUUUUCAGUGGAUUAGCUCGUGAUUUUCCGUGGAUGAACUUGGGAUUCGACGUGGAUGAACUCGAGAGACAGCGAUGAUGAGCACGACGAGGCUUGAAUCCGAGCAUGACACCGUCGGCAGAGCAAGACGACGGAGAUGGUCUGGUGGCCUGAGACAGACGCGACGAGCUGCGGCGGAAAAGAGAGAGCUCAAGACAGGUGAAUCACGGAGGAUAUGAAGCAUACGCAACAAAGGAGGUUUGCGGUUGAGAACUGUUGGUUGGAGUACAGUGGCUGGAGAUUGUAAUGGGAGAGAAGCCGCCAAGCUUGGUUGCCACGAGUUGCAGUCGAAGGUGAGAAGAUCCACGAAGAAAAUGAAUCAAGUGAAGCUUGCGACAGAGACAGAAGAUAUUUCAGUUUGGAAAAAAACAUUAAUAAUCCAACUAUUUUUCUAACUUAACUAACUAGAAGAAAGUAACUAGUUCUUUUUUUUUGCUAACUACACGUAAAGCUAAAGGGCAUAAUGGUCAAAAAAAAAUCUUAGUUUCAUGAAUUGUGUGCUUCAGACAUAAUGUGUCCUUUUAUGAAAGAAAAAAGAUAAAUGUGUCUUUGAUAGUAACUCACUCAUAAGAAAGCUCUUCGAUUAUUGGGCCUCCCACAGUAUAAGAACCCUGCAACAUGCCAACGGUGCCGUUCGGUAGUGAAUAGUAUAGAGAGUCUUGGCUCGUUGUUUCGGCAGACAGAAUACAAGUCUUCGAACAAAGACGACGAUGGAAGAAGCGAAGAAACAAGAAAAUGUUAGGGCGAAGAAAAUCGCUUCAUCGUGCGACGUAGAGGCGCUGAAGAAAUGCUUGGAAGAAAACAAAGGAGACCACUCCAAGUGUCAGUCUCAGGUUGACGCCUUCAGAUCCUCUUGCGCGCUUCCUCAACCCAAGACUAAACCCUAAUUUUCAAAUUCCGACACUAGGCUGCCAAAGAGAAAGAGAUCUUCUUCUUCUGUAAUAAACUCAGACCAAUCUGGUCUGUACGAUAAUGAUUGUAUGAACAUCUGUCUCUUAUUUUUUUACACAUACAAUAGAAACUUAUGAUUGGAUCA